GGCUGCAGUCGAGAAUCUUCCGCAAUGGGCGAAAGCCUGACGGAGCGACGCCGCGUGCAGGACGAAGGCCUUCGGGUUGUAAACUGCUGUCAAGGGUUAUGAAUGGCCGUGCGUGAACAGCGUACGGAGUGACGUAAGCCCUGAAGGAAGCACUGGCUAACUCUGUGCCAGCAGCCGCGGUAAUACAGAGAGUGCGAACGUUGUUCGGAAUCACUGGGCAUAAAGCGCACGUAGGCGGCACCAUAAGUGCGAGGUGAAAUCCCACGGCUUACCCGUGGAACUGCUUUGCAGACUGUGGUGCUAGAGGAUGGUAGGGGGGAGCGGAACUCUUGGUGGAGCGGUGAAAUGCGUAGAGAUCAAGAGGAACACCGGUGGCGAAGGCGGCUCUCUGGUCCAUAUCUGACGCUGAGGUGCGAAAGCUAGGGGAGCAAACGGGAUUAGAUACCCCGGUAGUCCUAGCUGUAAACGAUGGAUACUAGCUUGGGGUCUCCCUGUGUGAUCCCAGGUGAAGCAAAUGUGAUAAGUAUCCCGCCUGGGGAGUAUGGUCGCAAGGCUGAAACUCAAAGGAAUUGACGGGGGCUCACACAA
rnacentral:rRNA from 1 species